GCCUAUGUGGCUCAGUUGGUAAAGCGUCUGACUUGGGCUCAGAUCAUGAUCUCGUGGUUCACGAGUUCGAGCCCCGUGUUGGGCU